GGGGUUGUAGCUCAAUGGUAGAGCGCUUGCCUCGCAUGCAUGAGGCCCUGGGUUCAAUCCUCAGCACCACA
rnacentral:tRNA from 1 species